AGAUUAGCUUGCUUUAUUUGUCAGCUAAGUGGCGCACGGGUGAGUAAUGUAUAGAUAACCUGCCCUCUAGAAAGGAAUAACAGUUGGAAACGACUGCUAAUGCCCUAUAUGCCUUUAAUACAUAAGUAUGCAAGGGAAACGCUUUAGUGCUAGAGGAUGGGUCUGUAUGGUAUCAGCUAGUUGGUGAGGUAAUGGCUCACCAAGGCUAUGACGCCUAACUGGUUUGAGAGGAUGAUCAGUCACACUGGAACUGAGACACGGUCCAGACUCCUACGGGAGGCAGCAGUGGGGAAUAUUGCACAAUGGACGAAAGUCUGAUGCAGCAACGCCGCGUGGAGGAUGACACAUUUCGGUGCGUAAACUCCUUUUAUAUAGGAAGAUAAUGACGGUACUAUAUGAAUAAGCACCGGCUAACUCCGUGCCAGCAGCCGCGGUAAUACGGAGGGUGCAAGCGUUACUCGGAAUCACUGGGCGUAAAGAGCGUGUAGGCGGGUAUAUAAGUCAGAAGUGAAAUCCUAUAGCUUAACUAUAGAACUGCUUUUGAAACUGUAUACCUAGAAUGUGGGAGAGGUAGAUGGAAUUUCUGGUGUAGGGGUAAAAUC
rnacentral:rRNA from 1 species